GCCGCUAUAGCUCAGUGGUAGAGCGCGCCACUCGUAUAGAAUCUCCCCGCAAGGGAGAGAUCCUUUGACAUGGUGAGGUCCGUUGUUCAAUCCAGCGUGGUGGCA
rfam:Fomitiporia mediterranea MF3/22 unplaced genomic scaffold FOMMEscaffold_1, whole genome shotgun sequence.